rnacentral:rRNA from 1 species
GAUGAACGCUGGCGGCGUGCCUAACACAUUCAAGUCGAACGGAGUUAUGAUGUGAGCGGGAAGUGCUUGCACUAAACAAUCUUUUCAUAACUUAGUGGCGGACGGGUGAGUAACGCGUGGGUAACCUGCCCUGUACUGGGGGACAACAGUUGGAAACGACUGCUAAUACCGCAUAAGCGCACGGGAUCGCAUGAACCUGUGUGAAAAACUCCGGUGGUACAGGAUGGACCCGCGUCUGAUUAGCUGGUUGGUGAGGUAACGGCCCACCAAGGCAACGAUCAGUAGCCGGCCUGAGAGGGUGAACGGCCACAUUGGGACUGAGACACGGCCCAAACUCCUACGGGAGGCAGCAGUGGGGAAUAUUGCACAAUGGGGGAAACCCUGAUGCAGCGACGCCGCGUGAGUGAAGAAGUAUUUCGGUAUGUAAAGCUCUAUCAGCAGGGAAGAAAAUGACGGUACCUGACUAAGAAGCCCCGGCUAACUACGUGCCAGCCGCCGCGGUAA